AGGGCUUCGGCUUCCCUACUUCACACAUGUGGUUCACUGUUGCGGGGGUUCAUGGAGUUAUGGUGGGUGGGAAAUCCGAGAUUCUUUGCAUCCAUGUGAUUUCUGGGGAUCUGUGAAGAACUUCAGACGUGGGUCUGAGCGUUCUUAUCCCAACCCUUGGGCCCCGGCCUGGCUGUCAGCACUUUCGGACCUCCACCCUCUUCCGUGCACCCCAAGGCCAGUGUGUCGUUGUUAGCGUGUGGGGUGGACAGAUCUGGUGUGUAGCCGGUGGUGGGGAAAGGACUCAUUUUGUCCUAGCACCCACACACACACACAGGCCCCCACUCCUCUCUACCUCUGCUAAGGAGGGCUCAAAACCCACCAGCAGAAAUGUGGCUCGGUAGUCCAACAUGCAACAUGGACUUUUAAUUUUUUUUCUUUUUCUUUUUUUUUCCAGAGUCUACAAUAAAGCAUCUAAUUGGUGUCAGAGAGUUUACAGAAUAAAACCUUCUGAAUGUCUUGUGUAAUCUUUGUCUUGUAGGUAUCUCUUCAACUGUGGAGAAGGCGUUCAGAGACUCAUGCAGGAGCACAAGUUGAAGGUUGCUCGCCUGGACAACAUAUUCCUGACACGAAUGCACUGGUCUAAUGUUGGGGGCUUAAGUGGAAUGAUUCUUACUUUAAAGGAAACCGGGCUUCCAAAAUGUGUACUUUCUGGACCUCCGCAACUGGAAAAAUACCUCGAAGCAAUCAAAAUAUUUUCUGGUCCAUUGAAAGGAAUAGAAAUGGCUGUGCGGCCCCACUCUGCCCCAGAAUACAAGGAUGAAACCAUGACAGUUUACCAGAUCCCCAUACACAGUGAACAGAAGAGGGGAAAGCACCAACCAUGGCAGAGUCCAGAAAGGCCUCUCGGCAGGCUCAGUCCAGAGCGAUCUUCAGACUCCGAGUCGAAUGAAAAUGAGCCGCACCUUCCACAUGGUGUUAGCCAGAGAAGAGGGGCCAGGGACUCUUCCCUGGUCGUAGCUUUCAUCUGUAAGCUUCACUUAAAGAGAGGAAACUUCUUGGUGCUCAAAGCAAAGGAGAUGGGCCUCCCAGUUGGGACAGCUGCCAUCGCUCCCAUCAUUGCUGCUGUCAAGGACGGGAAAAGCAUCACUCAUGAAGGAAGAGAGAUUUUGGCUGAAGAGCUGUGUACUCCUCCAGAUCCUGGUGCUGCUUUUGUGGUGGUGGAAUGUCCAGAUGAAGGCUUCAUUCAACCCAUCUGUGAGAAUGCCACCUUUCAGAGGUACCAAGGAAAGGCAGAUGCCCCCGUGGCCUUGGUGGUUCACAUGGCCCCAGAAUCUGUGCUGGUGGACAGCAGGUACCAGCAGUGGAUGGAGAGGUUUGGGCCUGACACCCAGCACUUGGUCCUGAAUGAGAACUGUGCCUCAGUUCACAACCUUCGCAGCCACAAGAUUCAAACCCAGCUCAACCUCAUCCACCCGGACAUCUUCCCCCUGCUCACCAGUUUCCCCUGUAAGGUAGUGUCUCAGACCGGCCCCUUGUCGGCCCAGCUCUCGUCCCCUCUCUUUCUCUCCAUGAAUGUGUUUUGUCUCUUUCAGGAGGUCCCCACCCUCAGUGUGCCCGUGGUUCAGGGUGAAUGCCUCCUCAAGUACCAGCUCCGUCCCAGGAGGGAGUGGCAGAGGGAUGCCAUUAUUACUUGCAAUCCUGAGGAAUUCAUAGUUGAGGCGCUGCAGCUUCCCAACUUCGAGCAGAGCGUGCAGGAGUACAGGAGGAGUGCGCAGGACGGCCCAGCCCUAGCAGAGAAAAGAAGUCAGUACCCAGAAAUCAUCUUCCUUGGAACAGGGUCUGCCAUCCCGAUGAAGAUUCGAAAUGUCAGUGCCACACUUGUCAACAUAAGCCCCAACACGUCUCUGCUACUGGACUGUGGUGAGGGCACGUUUGGGCAGCUGUGCCGUCAUUACGGAGACCAGGUGGACAGAGUCCUGGGCACCCUGGCUGCUGUGUUUGUGUCCCACCUGCACGCAGAUCACCACACGGUGAGUGUUGGGCUGGACCACAAAGCUGGAGCCUGGAGGAGGCACUGCCAUGUUGAGUUGGCCCUUUGGCCGCGUCUUUUCCUCGACUUCCAAACUUGCCCAGGGCUUUUGUUACUCAUCUCUAGCUAGGAAAUGGUCUUUUACAAAACUCAACAUAGCCCUUCUGCGCCACAAGGAUGUCUUCUCUUUCUAUUUAGUUCCUUUCCUGCAGCAGGACAGGUUUGAGUUUACCCAGUCUUCCUUGAAUCUUGAAUCUCACACGGCCUGCUCAGAGGAAGCUUUGGCCAGAUGCAGGAGGUGUGGCUAUGAGACCCUCACCUUGGUCUCCUGGGGUGCCCGACCCUGGGCCAUUGCCCUCUUCCCAACACGGGUCAUGUUGCUUUCUGCCCGUGACAUUUCAGGGUCAUGGCGCAGGGGGCUCAGCCUGUGCCACCCCCACUGCGGCUGUGUUAGAGGCUGGUGGGUGACAUAGGGCUGGCAACUCCUGCAAGAGGGAGGACUCCAGACCCUAACCCGAAGGAGAUCGCCCUGGGGCCUGGCUAAUGCAUGUCUCCUGUUUCUUUGCCAGGGCUUGCUAAAUAUCUUGCUGCAGAGAGAACGAGCCUUGGCAUCUUUGGGAAAGCCACUUCACCCUUUGCUGGUGAUUGCCCCCAGCCAGCUCAAAGCCUGGCUCCAGCAGUACCACAACCAGUGCCAGGAGGUCCUGCACCACAUCAGUAUGAUUCCUGCCAAAUGCCUUCAGGAAGGGGCUGAGAUCUCCAGUCUUGCAGUGGAAAGAUUGAUCAGUUCGCUGUUGGGAACAUGUGAUUUGGAAGGGGUAAGGGGCACAGCUGCAGGCAUCGUGGGGGCGAGGUGGGGAGCAGAGCUGCAGAGCCCUCCAGCCCCGCCCUUUUAGUUUCAGACCUGUCUGGUGCGGCACUGCAAGCAUGCGUUUGGCUGUGCGCUGGUGCACACCUCUGGCUGGAAAGUGGUCUAUUCCGGGGACACCAUGCCCUGCGAGGCUCUGGUCCGGAUGGGGAAAGAUGCCACCCUCCUGAUACAUGAAGCCACCCUGGAAGAUGGUUUGGAAGAGGAAGCAGUGGAAAAGACACACAGCACAACGUCCCAGGCCAUCAGCGUGGGGAUGCGGAUGAACGCAGAGUUCAUCAUGCUGAACCACUUCAGCCAGCGCUACGCCAAGGUCCCCCUCUUCAGCCCCAACUUCAACGAGAAAGUGGGAGUUGCCUUUGACCACAUGAAGGUCUGCUUUGGAGACUUUCCAACAAUGCCCAAGCUGAUUCCCCCACUGAAAGCCCUGUUUGCUGGCGACAUCGAGGAGAUGGAGGAGCGCAGGGAGAAGCGGGAGCUGCGGCAGGUGCGGGCGGCCCUCCUGUCCAGGGAGCUGGCAGGCAGCCUGGAGGAUGGGGAGCCUCAGCAGAAACAGGCCCACACAGAGGAGCCACAGGCCAAGAAGGUCAGAGCCCAGUGAAGAUCUGGGAGACCCUGAACUCUGAAGGCUGUGUGUCUUCUGCCCCACGCACGCACCCGUAUCUGCCCUCCUUGCUGGUAGAAGCUGAAGAGCACGGUCCCCCAGGAGGCAGCUCAGGAUAGGUGGUAUGGAGCUGUGCCAAGGCUUGGGCUCCCAGAUAAGCACUAGUCUAUAGAUGCCUCUUAGGACUGGUGCCUGGCACAGCCGCGGGACAGGAGGCUGCCACACGGAAGCAAGCAGAUGAACUAAUUUUAUUUCAAGGCAGUUUUUAAAAAGAAGUCAUGGAAACAGACGGCAGCACCUUUCCUCUAAUCUAGCAAAGAGAUUCCCUGCACGCCAGAGACAAGCAGAGUAACAGGAUCACUGGGUCUAAGUGUCUGAGACUCAAUGAAAAUAGUAUUUCAGCUGCAAUAAAGAUUGAGUUUGCAA
rnacentral:sRNA from 1 species